GAUGAACGCUGGCGGCGUGCCUAAUACAUGCAAGUCGAGCGAACGGACGAGAAGCUUGCUUCUCUGAUGUUAGCGGCGGACGGGUGAGUAACACGUGGAUAACCUACCUAUAAGACUGGGAUAACUUCGGGAAACCGGAGCUAAUACCGGAUAAUAUUUUGAACCGCAUGGUUCAAAAGUAAAAGACGGUCUUGCUGUCACUUAUAGAUGGAUCCGCGCUGCAUUAGCUAGUUGGUAAGGUAACGGCUUACCAAGGCAACGAUGCAAAGCCGACCUGAGAGGGUGAUCGGCCACACUGGAACUGAGACACGGUCCAGACUCCUACGGGAGGCAGCAGUAGGGAAUCUUCCGCAAUGGGCGAAAGCCUGACGGAGCAACGCCGCGUGAGUGAUGAAGGUCUUCGGAUCGUAAAACUCUGUUAUUAGGGAAGAACAUAUGUGUAAGUAACUGUGCACAUCUUGACGGUACCUAAUCAGAAAGCCACGGCUAACUACGUG
rnacentral:rRNA from 1 species